rnacentral:lncRNA from 1 species
UUUGUACAACUCAACUAGAUUAGGUAGGGCCUGGUCAAAUUUGGACAACACUGAGUUGCUUUCAUAUCUUGAAUGAUGGUGGGGGACAAUGCACAUUUAUUAGGAAACAAAAUGUAAAAUCUGGCAGCCAAAUCACCCAAAGAAUUAGGAUGUUCCUGCUAAGAACCAUAACCAACUGCAAAAUAUUUGGGUUCUCAUCAACUGAGAUCAAAAUGUCUAGGCCUCCCCAUGCAGGACUUCUAGUGUGCUGCUGGGUAAGGAAUAAACAGUGUACCUGAGGGAAGAGGAGAAAGAACCCUAGAAGUUGCCCGGGUUUCUUCGAUAAAGAGAAUUUCAAGUUGGGAACAAAAGUCUUUAAAGUUCUUAUCUUCCAAUUUGGAAGGCCAUCCUGCAACAUUCUAGAAUUUUGAUAAGGCAUUUGUUGGGACAUGGAGAAGAAGGUCAUCUUGACGCCUUCCAGGAAUGCCACGAGUAUAGCUGGCAGAGCUGAUCUCUACAGAUUUAGCUCCAUUUUCCUUCCACCAUUUUCCUUCCAACUGCAUCAUGUAGCUGUAAAGGUCUGUGUGUGGCUGUGCCGAGGAAGAACUCUGACCACCCCCUUGUUGAAUACCUUUCUCCCAACAACCUCACAGCCCUUACUCUUGACCCCUUCCACUUUCUGGAAUCAGAAUACAGCCCCCUCGAGCGCUCCCACAGCACAUACCUGCCCAGCCUUUGGAGUUAUUCUACUCUGCAUUGAUAACUCCCUCAUCCUGAAGCAAGUACAGUAUGUUUUAUUUAGUCAGUGAUUUGCUUUAUUCAUCCACUGUGUGUCAUUUAUUAAGCUCUGCCAUAAUAUUUGCUUUUCUCUGUUGCAGUCUAUGAGUAUAUUUUGAUUCUGAUGCAUUUGUUAAAAUUCCCCUUUCAAAAUUGCCCUGCCCAGAUGUACUACUUCCAGAGUUUUAAAAUCCCUUAUAAGAAUGUAUGCUCGGAUCAUGCAUAAGGUCAUACACAUGUCCAUACAGUAUAACCAGUAACCCUUACUUGUAAGUUGUUACUUCCAAGUUUUGAUCAAAACCACUGUCUUUGUGCACAUACACAUUCAGGAGCAUCUCUGAUGCUGGAGCAGGAAGGAGAGAAGAAUGUUUUAAUGUCUUCAGGGGACCUGGAUUCAGCUUAGUAAAGGGGAACCCUAACCUAUCAAAUUGAAAGGUAAAGAAAAUCGCUCAAAGUGUCCAGAUGUGCUUUUCCAUGACAGUGUUUACAUAAGCUGGAAAAUGUGUCCUCAAGAUCAUCUCAAGGCACCAUGAUUAUCUAUCUUUGGGUAGAGUGGGCGGCAUAAAAGUUAAAUAAAUAAAUAAAUCAUGAGUCA